rnacentral:rRNA from 1 species
AAUGGGUCAGCGACUUAUAUUCUGUAGCAAGGUUAACCGAAUAGGGGAGCCGAAGGGAAACCGAGUCUUAACUGGGCGUUAAGUUGCAGGGUAUAGACCCGAAACCCGGUGAUCUAGCCAUGGGCAGGUUGAAGGUUGGGUAACACUAACUGGAGGACCGAACCGACUAAUGUUGAAAAAUUAGCGGAUGACUUGUGGCUGGGGGUGAAAGGCCAAUCAAACCGGGAGAUAGCUGGUUCUCCCCGAAAGCUAUUUAGGUAGCGCCUCGUGAAUUCAUCUCCGGGGGUAGAGCACUGUUUCGGCAAGGGGGUCAUCCCGACUUACCAACCCGAUGCAAACUGCGAAUACCGGAGAAUGUUAUCACGGGAGACACACGGCGGGUGCUAACGUCCGUCGUGAAGAGGGAAACAACCCAGACCGCCAGCUAAGGUCCCAAAGUCAUGGUUAAGUGGGAAACGAUGUGGGAAGGCCCAGACAGCCAGGAUGUUGGCUUAGAAGCAGCCAUCAUUUAAAGAAAGCGUAAUAGCUCACUGGUCGAGUCGGCCUGCGCGGAAGAUGUAACGGGGCUAAACCAUGCACCGAAGCUGCGGCAGCGACACUAUGUGUUGUUGGGUAGGGGAGCGUUCUGUAAGCCUGUGAAGGUGUACUGUGAGGUAUGCUGGAGGUAUCAGAAGUGCGAAUGCUGACAUAAGUAACGAUAAAGCGGGUGAAAAGCCCGCUCGCCGGAAGACCAAGGGUUCCUGUCCAACGUUAAUCGGGGCAGGGUGAGUCGACCCCUAAGGCGAGGCCGAAAGGCGUAGUCGAUGGGAAACAGGUUAAUAUUCCUGUACUUGGUGUUACUGCGAAGGGGGGACGGAGAAGGCUAUGUUGGCCGGGCGACGGUUGUCCCGGUUUAAGCGUGUAGGCUGGUUUUCCAGGCAAAUCCGGAAAAUCAAGGCUGAGGCGUGAUGACGAGGCACUACGGUGCUGAAGCAACAAAUGCCCUGCUUCCAGGAAAAGCCUCUAAGCAUCAGGUAACAUCAAAUCGUACCCCAAACCGACACAGGUGGUCAGGUAGAGAAUACCAAGGCGCUUGAGAGAACUCGGGUGAAGGAACUAGGCAAAAUGGUGCCGUAACUUCGGGAGAAGGCACGCUGAUAUGUAGGUGAAGUCCCUCGCGGAUGGAGCUGAAAUCAGUCGAAGAUACCAGCUGGCU